UUGACUUCUGACACCAUUAAGAGAAGGAAAUGCUGGAAUGAUUUGAGGUGUGAAUUUGAUGGAGGUGAAGACAAGAGUGAGAGAAGCUUCAGCUCAGUGUAUCUGCCCACCUGUUUUAGCACAUGUUGAAUAGACACCAAAGAAGACACGAGAGGGUUGAGGUCCAGUCAGUCUGCUGAACAGAGAGUCACAGUGCCUCACAUUUGAGGCAUCCAGGCAGCCUCAGGAGUGUGCCAGCCUGUGGCUAAGGUUGGUGAGUCCCCAGUCCCCUUGAGUCCCACGGACUGAGAACUUCACAUCUGGAGAUCGGUGCUUCUCUUCGACCUCCAGGUGUGUGCUGUCCAGGGGCUGCCCCUGCCUUAAGCUGUGAGAA
rnacentral:lncRNA from 1 species